rnacentral:pre_miRNA from 1 species
AGUGAAAUUGCUGGAUCAUAUGGUAGUUCUAUAUUUAACUUUUUAAGGAACUGCCAAGCUGUUUUCCAGAGUGGUUGUGCCAUUUCACAUUUCCACCAGCGGU